UGACGUAUGUGUGAAUCAUCGAAUCUUUGAACGCACCUUGCACUUUGGGAGUCAAUCUCAAAGUAUACCUGUUUGAGUAUCAUAAACAUUUAUCCAAGUAAUUGGGAUUUGAGGAUUAUUUUCUCUGAGAAGGUAUUCCUUUAAAUAUAGAACGGAGUUAGCUGAUGAACUUGCACGCUUACUCGAGUGAGGAUAUUUGCAUUAGUGCAAAGGAUUCAUAAGAGAUUGUGUUAGGGGAUAUUAGUAAUUUAUAAUUCCGAUGAUUUGUUUUGUUUUGUUGUUUUGUUUUGUAAAAAACACUAGCUCAACAAUUCAAUUCUUCUGUACAAAUGUGAUCUCAAAUCAGGCAAGAUUACCCGCUGAACUUAAGCAUAUCAAUAAGCGGAGG
rnacentral:rRNA from 1 species